UACGUAGGGUGCAAGCGUUGUCCGGAAUUAUUGGGCGUAAAGAGCGUGUAGGCGGUUAUACAGGUCCGCUGUGAAAACUGGAGGCUUAACCUCCAGACGUCGGUGGGAAACCGUAUAACUAGAGUCCGGAAGAGGAGAGUGGAAUUCCUGGUGUAGCGGUGAAAUGCGCAGAUAUCAGGAAGAACACCCGUGGCGAAGGCGGCUCUCUGGGACGGUACUGACGCUGAGACGCGAAAGCGUGGGGAGCGAACAGG
rnacentral:rRNA from 1 species